UCCGAAUUGGUGUAGUGGCUAACAUUUGACGCUCUCAUCUCCCUGUUUCUCAUCUGGAAUAGGUUGUUGCUAGUGCCGUCAAGCCCGGGGUUCGAUUCCCCGAUUCGGAG